GAUAAACGCUGGCGGCGUGCAUAACACAUGCAAGUCGAACGAAGUGGCGAACGGGUGAGUAACACGUGAGUAACCUGCCUUAAACAAGGGGAUAGCCUUUGGAAACGAAGAAUAAUACCCUAUAGUGUAAGAUGGACUUGCGUCUGAUUAGCUAGUUGGUGAGAUAAAGGCCCACCAAGGCAACGAUCAGUAGCCGGCGUGAGUGGGUGUACAGGCACAUUGGGAAUGACACACGGCCCAAACUCUACGGGAGGCAGCACAGGGGAAAUGUGCACACUGGGAGAAACCCUGUGGCAGCGAGGCCUCGUGAUUUAGAAGACCUUCAGGUUGUAAAAAGCUUUUUUAUGGAAUGCAGUACCCUAAGAAUAUGGUCCGGCUAAAUACGUGCCAGCAGCCGCGGUAAUUC
rnacentral:rRNA from 1 species